rfam:Beta vulgaris subsp. vulgaris Bvchr7.sca014.con0037.1, whole genome shotgun sequence.
AUAUUGUGGUGUGGGAAUUCUCUCUGUAGAUCCUUGAACCUAUUCCAUGCUUCCUUCAGUUUUUCAUCGGGUUCUUGUUGAAAUAUAGCCAGCUUAUGUCUUAUUUU